UACGUAGGGUCCGAGCGUUAAUCGGAAUUACUGGGCGUAAAGGGUGCGCAGGCGGUCUCGUAAGCUGGGUGUGAAAGCCCCGGGCUUAACCUGGGAAUGGCAUUCAGGACUGCGAGGCUUUGAGUGCGGCAGAGGGAGGUGGAAUUCCACGUGUAGCAGUGAAAUGCGUAGAGAUGUGGAGGAACACCGAUGGCGAAGGCAGCCUCCUGGGCCAGCACUGACGCUCAUGCACGAAAGCGUGGGGAGCAAACAGG
rnacentral:rRNA from 1 species